rnacentral:lncRNA from 1 species
AACCGAACUAACCCCAGUGCUCCUGCCUCUAGAUUUCGGAUGUUAGGGAUCUUUAAUUUGAUUUUGCAAGGACUCCGGGAAGUCGCCUAGGACCAGUAUCGUUUUUGUCCGCAAAAACUUCGGUCUUAUGGAGGAGCUAGGCUCUCAUUGGCCCAGAAUCUGGGGUCUGAGCUGGCGGAGCAUUGGCCACCUUGGAGGUCGGCCGGCCUCCUGGGCCCAGUUGGAAGCCUCCCCCUGGUGCUAAUGGCUUGUUCUAGGAGCAUCGGAAGAAAAGUUCAUACUCACCAGUACCACCCCCACCCAAGAGCCCCUGUUACUGAAAGGCGGGGGGAGCCCCCCGAGCCCUGGAAAGCACAGGCCGAAGAGGAAAUUUUAGGGCCGGGCCCAGGAAGCAUGAAAAUAACAACGACGACAACAGUAAUAAUAGCAAUGGCUAACACCAAGUAAGCAGGCAUUAUGUGACAGGCACUGUUCUGAGCUCAUUACCUGUAAUUACUCACUUAAAUCCUCACACAUAUUUUAUGAGGGAAUAUUAUCACUGUGCUACAGGUGGGGAAAGUGAAGCACAGAGAUCUUAAAUCUCUCUGGGUCUCAGUUUCCUGAAAAUUCAACACUUUCGAAGGAAAGUGCCCCACCAGGUUAGUCAUAAAUUGUUUAACUGAAAUAGCAGCCAAUUCAUGGUGAGAAAGUGGCAAGGAAUAGCGGUGAGACCAGGCGCAUGUGUUUUCUGGAUGUGCUGCAGCGGGGCCAUUGCCUUAGUAAAAUCACUGAAGAACCUGGGGGAGAAUGGCCGUGAAUUUUUCUCUUAAAGCGCCCCCUGGUGGGAAGGGAGGGCAAGACCGCCGCCUUGGCAAAGUUUCUUGGAGAUCAAUCCUGGAAAGGAUGCGGUCCCAGACUGUUGAUGAAAAUACCCAUUUUUGCCCUCAGUGUGGGAGCUUCUCAGUGUAGUAGGAAAGGGUCAGGUUGGCCACUAGACAUGAAACUUGAAGGAACAGUCAUUGAGUCACUGUCCCAACUAAUCACUCAUUGAGUGGCCGCUAGACAGAGGCUGUGUGGGCAUUUGUGACCUGUGAGCCACUUGGCAGAGGUGGAACUGGAGGGGGCUAGUAAGCAGUGGCUUGAAGCUCCACAGCAGUCCCUGAGCUGCUAACAGUGUCAGAAAUUCCAUCACCAGAGAGAAGAGGUCGUGGCACAAGGCUGGGUCCUAAUUUGGCCCUCAUUUAAAUUUAGAAAACUCUUCCUGGUGCUGAGACAAGGCCUGCCUCCCAUUAACUUCCUCCCAGACUCAGAGCCCUGGUUCCACAGGUCGGGGGGUGGGGGGAAAUCUAAUGCCCCAGGACAAAUGAGCUCAUCAGAUAUUUUCUGGUGCGGGGGUGGGGGCCAUCCCUGCGGUAGCUGGAGGAGGGUGCUGGCCCUGUUUCAGAACUGCCUCUGCAGUUAAAUCUCAAACCGCCACCAGCUGCUGCCUUGGGUGUGGCUGUGGCUGUGGGAGCACUAUCACAAGAGUCCUCACACCACCGUUUUGGGUCCUCAAAUAGCUAUUGGGUCCAUUUGUCCUUAAGAAUGACAUACCCCCAUAGUAGGAUGCAGGGACAUUCGAGGCUUAUGUCACAGAACAGCUCAGCCCCCCAGUACAACUGUCAGCUCCAGUGUACAAGCAUCCUACCUCAUGCUGCUGCUCGAAUGGUUGGGAGCACACUCCCACACUCCCUGGUGUGGUUCUCACCCACCACAAGUUGGCUUCAACUUCUUUUCAAAGAAAGAAGCUGCCUUUGUUUGGGGCCAGACCCCACCUUCCCUGGGAGCCAUAAACAAUGCUUGUCAAACACUGGUGGUGUUUUAAAAUGUUUAAUGAUAUAGGAGUUCUUGUUGUGACUCAGUUUGUUAAGGACCUGAGUUGUCUCUGUGAGGAUGUGGGUUCGAUCCCUGGCCUUGCUCAAUGGGUUAAGGAUUUGACGUUGCCGCAAGUUGCGCCAUAGGUCACAGAUGCAGCUUGGAUCUGGCAUUGCUGUGGCUGUGGUGUAGUCUGGCAGCUGCAGCUCUGAUUGGACCCCUAGCCUGGGAAUAUCCAUAUGCCUUGGGUGCAUCCCUAAAAAGAUAAAGCAAGCAAGCAAGCAAGCAAGAAAAUGUUUAAUAAUAUAGUAGAAAGAACAUGGGCUUUGAAGUCAGACUUGGUUGUUAAUAUGAGCUUAACACCAUUUAUCACCUAAAAUAUCAAGGCACGUUUCCAUAUCUGUAAAUAGUGGCAGUGGUGAUAGUGGGGAAUGAAAACUAUAUUAUGAGAUGUAGAAAAAUGGAAAGAACGCCCAUAGUGGGAGUUUCACAGACGGGAGACAGAGGCAAUCCAGGUACCCAAUUUUUUAGUGGUGUGUUCCCCAACAAGAUUUUAGGUUCUGCCCCCUCAAGGCCCACCUCCCCCUGUGCCAUCUGGUCUCCAGGGCCUUUGCUUGGCCUCAGACACUCUCUGUGCUGUGCCAUUCCCACCAUUGCUGUAGGCAUUUGUCUGACCUGGUUCCAGAACGAAGCACCCCCUGCCAACCCAUAUGGGCUCAAAUGGGGGUGGGGGGGAGUGGGAAGCCAUUUAGAGAGAAAAGAAAAAUUUAAUAGCAGCUAAUACUUUUGAGGGACAUCUGAAAAGUUAGGUGAUUAAGGCUGGGAAGGAAGAGACUAGAAAGAACUGAAGAAAGAAAUUGCGAAUUCAAGUCAAAAACAGGAGACUUUCCUGCAGAUGGAAGCCCCGGAGAGGGAAGCUGAGGGUGAUCAUCAGCCAUAACUCUGAAGCCAGACUGCUUGUCUCAUCCCAGCUCUUGCACUUAAGAGCUUAGCCUUUGUCCAUCUGCACCUCAGUUUCCUCAUCUGUAGAAUGGGGAUAGUCAUACCCCUUGGAGGGCUGUUACAGGGAUGAUAUGAAUUUGCGUUUCCAAAUCACUCAGCACAGUGUCUGACAUGUGGUGAGUGCUCAGUGGGCACUAAGUGGUGUUAUUUUUCCUUUGAAAUGAAAACUUAGAGAUUUGGGGAGCAUGGGCAAGAGGGGUCCAUGGGGACACCCGGCCUGUUUCUCUUACCAGUGAGGCAUCUGAGCCCAGAGAGCUGCUCUCCCCAUAGCCCUUGAGCAGAUGCUGGCACCUCCUGUUCCCCACAAAGCUCCUUCUUUGUCAAGUUGUCAGGGCUGUUUCCAUAGCACUCUGGGGGGUCUGGGUCUUGCCAUAGCACAGCACAUGGGCAGGGUCACCAUGGCAUAUCUGUGCAUCAGUCAGGGUGCUUGGCAUGGACAACCCAACUCAAAAUAGUUUAAGGGGUUAAAAAAAAAAAGGUAAUUGCUGCUGUACUAGAAUGUCUAGGAUGCUUUCAGGCCCAGGUGGAUCUGGGGCCUGAAGUGAUCCUAUCAGGACAGUGUCUCUCCUUUGUGUUUCUAUAGGUGGGCUUCAUCCUCAGGUAGGCUCUUCUCUUCAGGGAUAAGGGCCACCACCUGCAACUCUAAGCUCACCUUGUCCUCACUUUAAAAUUGGAGGUUUUACUAUUCGAUAUGAGGAGGCCAACAGAUUAGAGACAAUGGCCAUUGAAAAGUUAGUUUGUUUCUCACAGUUCCCAAGAGGAGUGCACGGUGCUAUGCAGGGCCACAUGGAGAAGCACCGGGGUCCAUCAGGAGGCAGAGGGCACAGCAGGAAAGGAGCCUUUAUUCUGGUGUUUGCGGGAAGGACUGGGUGAGUUAGGUAAGCCAGAAGAGCAAGGAUUGGCUAUUUUGAAAAAUUUCACUGGGCUCUGGGGUAGAGGGGCUGCUCCUGGCUGUCUGACACCUGGCCAAAGGGUGAUUAGGGCAGGGGGAGAGUGACCCCAAGUGUAAGAGCCAAUGAAGGAGGCUGUGGAGGGGUGUGGGCUCUGACUGGUUAAUUUGCAUGUGAAAAGCACACUGCUUUAUUAUCUCUAGGAACUGGCCAGCCCUGGGAGGGACAGUCUUGUCAGGGUCAGCAAGGACCCAGAUGUCCAAGCAUCAGAAAUACAGAAAAAAUGGGAAAAAAACACCUGCUGUGCCCUGGCCACUCACUAACCCCCCCACCAAAGUAAAUAAUUUUGCCAUACAGGCAGCCUUAAUUAUAACUAGAACCCACUUCUGUCCCUUUUCCUGCCCUAACAAGGCAGCCUGCCCUCUCCUUUGGCUACAAGAAACAGUCCCCGAUCUGUAGGUCUCCUGGGACAAGUAAGAGCUUCCAAGCCCUUCUGUGGGGGAGGUGAGAGGGCCCCCCGGGGCUGCCCUGUUCUGGGCAGGGUGCCAACCCCACAGGGCAGGCCUUGUCUGGGACCAGGCUCUGAAAGCUGGAGGUGUCUGGGUGGCUGGUGGAGGACUAGGCUCCGAGUGUAGGAUGCCGUUAGGGACAGAGGAGGGCCUGAUGUCAGGAAAAGGGGCAGCAGUGCCAGCGGGGAUGGCCCUUCCUGUCCUUCGCUGCUCUCAACACACCUGAGUCUUUCCCUUUCCUGAGUCUGGAUGUGGCUCUUGGGAGAAAACCCUGGGGAGGCUGACUUUGGGGAAUUUUGCCCCCAGAAGUACAUUAUCUGUCCUCAGGGCAGAAACACCUGCCACCCUGGCCAACAAAUUCUGGGGACUUGGUCCUGGAAUGUUGGUGAACUGGAAGGAAGCCUCAGACGGUGGGACACCCUGGGCCUCAGGGCUGGAGCUCCAGAGGCAGCUCCUUAGAUUCAGUGGAUGGAAACCUCUGGGUGCCUCUGUUUCCUCAUGGAACUUGGGUAAAAUGACCACCUUCCCUUUUGUCGUGGGAGGCAGGAGAAACAAAUCAGAUCAUAUGGCAAACUCCAGUGUCUGUGCUAAGGAGGGAGGUGAUAGAUAAUGGGUGGAGCAGCUGGUUAAAAAAAGAUUUAUUUUUUCAGGAGUUCCCUUUGUGGCUCAGUGGUUAACAAACCCAACUAGGAUCCAUAAGGACGUGGGUUUGAUCCCUGGCCUCGCUCAGUGGGUUAAGGAUCCGGUGUUGCCAUGAGCUGUGGUAUAAGUCGCAGACGUGGCUUGGAUCCUAUAUUGCUGUGGCUAUGGUGUAGGCUGGCAGCUGCAGCUCUGAUUCGACCCCUAGCCUGGGAACCUCCACAUGCCAUGGGUGUAGCCCUAAAACAGCAAAAAAUAAAAUAAAAUAAAAAAUUAAAAUUAAAGUUUUUUUUCUGAGUUCCCAUUGUGGCUCAGUGGUAAUGAACCUGACUAGUAUCCAUGAGAACAUGUGCUUGAUCCCUGGUCCUGCUCAGUGGUUAAGGAUCCAGCGUUGCUACAAGCUGCCUUGUAGGUCAUGGAGGUGGCUCAGAUUCUAAGCUGCUGUGGAUGUCUCUGGCAGCUGUAGUUCCAAUUUGACCCCUAGCCUGGGAAAUUCCAUAUGUCACAGAUGUGGCC